rnacentral:rRNA from 1 species
AACGAACGCUGGCGGCAGGCUUAACACAUGCAAGUCGAGCGCCCCGCAAGGGGAGCGGCAGACGGGUGAGUAACGCGUGGGAAUCUACCCAUCUCUACGGAAUAACGCAUGGAAACGUUUGCUAAUACCGUAUACGUCCUUCGGGAGAAAGAUUUAUCGGAGAUGGAUGAGCCCGCGUUGGAAUAGCUAGUUGGAGGGGUUAAGGCCUACCAAGGCGACGAUCCAUAGCUGGUCGGAGAGGAUGAUCAGCCACACUGGGACGGAGACACGGCCCAGACUCUUACGGGAGGCAGCAGUGGGGAAUAUUGGACAAUGGGCGCAAGCCUGAUCCAGCCAUGCCGCGUGAGUGAUGAAGGCCCUAGGGUUGUAAAGCUCUUUCACCGGUGAAGAUAAUGACGGUAACCGGAGAAGAAGCCCCGGCUAACUUCGUGCCAGCCGCCGCGGUAACAC